rnacentral:SRP_RNA from 1 species
CGCACUAGUCGGGGAGUUAGCGGUGCCUUGUAACCUGCAAUCCGCUACAGCAGGGAUGAAUUCCCACCUGAGGAGCGACCUGUAUUGUCUGACCUAUACAAGCGGUGAUGAGGAAUCGGUCCCGCGCAACGGAAUCCCGUGAACCAUGUCAGGCGGGGAACCGAGCAGCAUUAAGCGGAUCCUUUCGUGUGCCGCGGGUUCGCCGCUUCCGAGCUGGCUGUAUAGGUAACGGAUAUGGUCUCGUGUUCAACGGUGGGUGUGC